GAUGAACGCUGGCGGCCUGCCUAAUACAUGCAAGUCGUGCGGAAACACUUCGGGUGUCGAGCGGCGGACGGGUGAGUAACACGUUAGUAUCUACCCCAAACUGAGGGAUAAGCACCGGAAACGGUGUCUAAUACCGCAUAUGGUCUUCGGAUUAAAGCCUUCGGGCGGUCUGGGAGGAGCUUGCGUCUGAUUAGCUAGCUGGUAAGGUAAUGGCUUACCAAGGCUAGGAUCAGUAGCUGGUCUGAGAGGAUGAUCAGCCACACUGGAACUGAGACACGGUCCAGACUCCUACGGGAGGCAGCAGUAGGGAAUUUUCCACAAUGGGCGAAAGCCUGAUGGAGCAAUGCCGCGUGCAGGAUGAAUGCCUUCGGGUUGUAAACUGCUUUUAUGAGGGAAGAUUGUGACGGUACCUCAUGAAUAAGCCUCGGCUAACUCCGUGCCAGCCGCCGCCGUAA
rnacentral:rRNA from 1 species